GGGCAGGUAGUAGCACAGUGGUCAGCGCGUUCACUAAACUCCCCCCAGCGUUGAUUUUCAGGGCCGAGCAUUGUUCGACGAGAGGCUUGGGUUCGGAUCCCAGCCUGCCCA